AUAAUUUGACGAUCAAGCGCAUAGUAAUCAAUACCAUCAAACGUGGUUAUCUUGAUUACGCUAUUCGUGAUUGUGAGAACCAUGUUUAUGUUUUCCAAUACAAUUCUCAUGCUUAGUCACAACUUUUCCGUAAGUUUUUCUCGUUAUCGGCCAUUUCCACAGAAUAAAAUGUUUGCCACGUCGGUUUAAUAAAAAAAAAAAACAAUUUGUGAUAGAUAAUUAAAGCAAAAUUGUGGAAUUGUGCAUUGAGAACAGAAAACUUAGUGGAAAGCGUUCAUAAACCUCGGUGCCUGCUGCCACUAACAGAAUCCAGUAUUUCCGGAAGCCUGUUCCACCUAAGGUUCCACCGUCACCGUGGAAGGUUAACGAUUGUUUACCGGUAGACAACGAAUCUAAAAACACGCAACUCUCAUCACCCAAAGGGCAGCCAGAAGUUCCGACACUUAUUGCAUGAUGUUUUUGGUUACGGUGGAGCCUCCUCUAAAACCGCCUCCACCGCGGUGUAUUCAGAAUGCCAAACCAUCGUUUGCAAUUGAACCGAAGAUGCAGGACUCCCACUUCGGCGGUCGCUCCGUUUCUCAAACCAUAGAAGAAUCAAGGAAGUACCUCCGAAAACGAACGACGCAGAAACCUCCACAUUCAACAAAUCGGCUACCAGCAAGGCUACCAGGCAGCACACGGAACAGCUGUAACAGUUUCAGGACUAUUCCUUCGAUGCCCGGGACUGAAUGAAGGGAGUGAACUUUGUGGAAAAGUCUCCGUCAGGACAAUCUCAAUCGUAACAGCUCAACAGCAUCGCAGCGCCAGGGCCUGAGUUUCCAGGAAACCCCAGUCUUCAGUUCCGCCGAUGCAUGCCUCAAAAUCCACUUAGCCGCACGUUUCCAAAAAGCGUCGCCGUACGCCAAUGGCGUUUUCGAAAGAUAAUCAUUAUGUUUAUUGUGUUUAUACAUAUUAUUUAUUUGUUGAAAGCCCGAGUGAAAGCCAAUAAAGUUAUUGAAUGUA